CCACUGAGCCACUUUCCAGCCCUU
rnacentral:miRNA from 1 species